rnacentral:lncRNA from 1 species
AACUGGGCCCUUGCUGCUUGUAUACUACUCUUUUAACCCAUUCUUUUACCUUCCUGUUACAUUCCCCAAAGUGUUGCACAUUUUCUAUAUUCUCAAGCUCCAAAUUCCUAUUCCACCUCCUGCUACAAAAUUAUGUGUAAGAUAUAUAAGUUUUCUAACUUUUAAGAGUUUACAUACUGUAAUAAUAAGGAUCUAAAAUUAAAUGAUGUUGGUCAAUAUUUAACAGAAAACUCAAAAGCUAUGUGCAGUAUACCUUGCGUCUUCAAGUUUAAGCAAACCUUGUUGGAGAGUGCUAACUGAAUUCAGCUCUGUAUUAUUAUAUUAUAGCAUAAUCUCUGUAGAUAUACAUUGUUAUUAUUACGCAUCCUUAAAACACAAUUCAUACACAGCAUACAUAAGUAAGAGUAGGUUAUUUUUUCCCUCUCUGCAAUUUCUAGACUUGUUCUAAUUCAGCUAAGCCUAGAAAAUGACCCACAUCCAUCUGACUUGCAAAUGACCCUAAAACUGCAGUAAAAUUUGCCUUUAACAUCCAGCCUAAAGUUUAACCAUUAAAAUCCCCUGUGUGAUUACCCCUUGAAAAACAAACUACUGACUGUAAACCAAAAGAGCUUCAUUGGAAAAGCGGAUGUUAAAAAGAGAAACCACUUCAAGGUAAAUGAAACAAACAGGUACUAUUCAAACCAAGGGAUAUACAACGUGGUGGCUAGCACUCAUUGGCCAAUAGCAAAAGAUAGUGCUUCCUCUACUUUACUCUACUUCACUGGCAGACAAACUAUGCCUACUGGUUUAUAAAAUCAGAACACAGAUCUGGGCUAAGAUGGUAGAUGGAACUUACAUAUCUAAUUUUACUUCUUCCUAAAGGUCCAUUAAAAUUCAAGUAAGAAAAAAAGAAAAACAGGAAUAACAAGAGGAAAUGACAGCAAUAAAAUCCAAGGACCUAGAAAGUAGAUGGUUGGAUGGACUCACCUAGCUCAUUUGAGAAAGUCCAACCUUAAGCUAACAGUGGGGAAAACUGAGAUCCAAUCCAAUUUACAUCACAAAAUCCUCAAGGGCACAGAAACUGACAGGACCAGAUACCACUAAAACCAGAGAUAA